rnacentral:rRNA from 1 species
UUGGAGGUUGUGCCCUUGAGGCGUGGCUUCCGGAGCUAACGCGUUAAGUCGACCGCCUGGGGAGUACGGCCGCAAGGUUAAAACUCAAAUGAAUUGACGGGGGCCCGCACAAGCGGUGGAGCAUGUGGUUUAAUUCGAUGCAACGCGAAGAACCUUACCUACUCUUGACAUCCAGAGAACUUUCCAGAGAUGGAUUGGUGCCUUCGGGAACUCUGAGACAGGUGCUGCAUGGCUGUCGUCAGCUCGUGUUGUGAAAUGUUGGGUUAAGUCCCGCAACGAGCGCAACCCUUAUCCUUUGUUGCCAGCGGUCCGGCCGGGAACUCAAAGGAGACUGCCAGUGAUAAACUGGAGGAAGGUGGGGAUGACGUCAAGUCAUCAUGGCCCUUACGAGUAGGGCUACACACGUGCUACAAUGGCGCAUACAAAGAGAAGCGACCUCGCGAGAGCAAGCGGACCUCAUAAAGUGCGUCGUAGUCCGGAUUGGAGUCUGCAACUCGACUCCAUGAAGUCGGAAUCGCUAGUAAUCGUGGAUCAGAAUGCCACGGUGAAUACGUUCCCGGGCCUUGUACACACCGCCCGUCACACCAUGGGAGUGGGUUGCAAAAGAAGUAGGUAGCUUAACCUUCGGGAGGGCGCUUACCACUUUGUGAUUCAUGACUGGGGUGAAUC